AGACCCGAAACCCGGUGAUCUAGCCAUGGGCAGGUUGAAGGUUGGGUAACACUAACUGGAGGACCGAACCGACUAAUGUUGAAAAAUUAGCGGAUGACCUGUGGCUGGGGGUGAAAGGCCAAUCAAACCGGGAGAUAGCUGGUUCUCCCCGAAAGCUAUUUAGGUAGCGCCUCGUGAAUUCAUCUCCGGGGGUAGAGCACUGUUUCGGCUAGGGGGCCAUCCCGGCUUACCAACCCGAUGCAAACUGCGAAUACCGGAGAAUGUUAUCACGGGAGACACACGGCGGGUGCUAACGUCCGUCGUGAAGAGGGAAACAACCCAGACCGCCAGCUAAGGUCCCAAAGUCAUGGUUAAGUGGGAAACGAUGUGGGAAGGCCCAGACAGCCAGGAUGUUGGCUUAGAAGCAGCCAUCAUUUAAAGAAAGCGUAAUAGCUCACUGGUCGAGUCGGCCUGCGCGGAAGAUGUAACGGGGCUAAACCAUGCACCGAAGCUGCGGCAGCGACGCUUAUGCGUUGUUGGGUAGGGGAGCGUUCUGUAAGCCUGUGAAGGUGUGUCGUGAGGCAUGCUGGAGGUAUCAGAAGUGCGAAUGCUGACAUAA
rnacentral:rRNA from 1 species